AACGAACGCUGGCGGCAUGCCUAACACAUGCAAGUCGAACGAGACCUUCGGGUCUAGUGGCGCACGGGGGCGUAACGCGUGGGAACCGGCCCUUAGGUUCGGAAUAACUCCCCGAAAGGGGUGCUAAUACCGGAUAAUGUCUUCGGACCCAAGAUUUAUCGUCCUUGGGUGGGCCCGCGUUGGCUGAGCUAGUUGGUAGGGUAAAAGCCUACCAAGGCGACGAUCGAUAGCUGGGCAGAGAGGAUGAUCAGCCACACUGGGACUGAGCCGCGGUCCAGACUCUUACGCGAUGGGGCAGAGCGGAAUCUAGCAAUACGGCCGAAGUCAUGAUCGACCACUGCCGGGAAAGUCAUGAUGGCGUUAGAGAAAAACAGCUCUUUUACCCGCGGUGGUACUGACGGUACCGGGAGAAUAAGCACCGGCUAACUCCGUG
rnacentral:rRNA from 1 species